AAGGUAAUGAAAAAGCCAAGCUGGGAAGGCAGGCUGGUGACAAGUAUGGUCCCUGCGCAUUCCUCGGGCUGACGGCCAUUUCAAUUUAAGAAAACAAAAGAUGAUCCUGUGAACACUGUAUCAGGCAUCAUUACUGGACUGAAAAAAGGAUCACUUGAUGGACAUGCCUGGCGUUUUGUUUAGAAGUAUUUCUUCUCUGGCCUUAGAAGAUUAGUUUUCAAAGCGAUGGUAAAAUCAUUGAUGUAUGUCUUUUCAAGAAAAAGAAAAAAAAAAGACUCCUAAAUGCCAAACAUUUGCUCUUUGGAGCAUAGCAAGAAGAAAGGGAGAGGACCAGACGGCCACAUCCUAAGAACAGAGUAUUGUCCAGAAGGGGUCUAAAGAAGCC
rnacentral:lncRNA from 10 species